rnacentral:rRNA from 1 species
GACGAACGCUGGCGGCGUGCCUAAUACAUGCAAGUUGAGCGAUGAAGCUUGGUGCUUGCACCAAUUUGAAGAGCAGCGAACGGGUGAGUAACGCGUGGGGAAUCUGCCUUUGAGCGGGGGACAACAUUUGGAAACGAAUGCUAAUACCGCAUAACAACUUUAAACAUAAGUUUUAAGUUUGAAAGAUGCAAUUGCAUCACUCAAAGAUGAUCCCGCGUUGUAUUAGCUAGUUGGUGAGGUAAAGGCUCACCAAGGCGAUGAUACAUAGCCGACCUGAGAGGGUGAUCGGCCACAUUGGGACUGAGACACGGCCCAAACUCAUACGGGAGGCAGCAGUAGGGAAUCUUCGGCAAUGGACGAAAGUCUGACCGAGCAACGCCGCGUGAGUGAAGAAGGUUUUCGGAUCGUAAAACUCUGUUGGUAGAGAAGAACGUUGGUGAGAGUGGAAAGCUCAUCAAGUGACGGUAACUACCCAGAAAGGGACGGCUAACUACGUG